ACGUGUUACAAUGGGUGAUACAGAGGGCCGGCCGCUGGCAACAUCGGUCCAAUCCUUAAAGUCAUCCUCAGUUCGGACUGGGGUCUGCAACCCGACCCCACGAAGCUGGAUUCGCUAGUAAUCGCGCAUCAGCCAUGGCGCGGUGAAUACGUUCCCGGGCCUUGUACACACCGCCCGUCAAGCCAUGAAAGCCGGGGGGCGCCUGAAGUCCGUGACCGCGAGGGUCGGCCUAGGGUGAAACCGGUGAUUGGGGCUAAGUCGUAACAAGGUACC
rnacentral:rRNA from 1 species